rnacentral:rRNA from 1 species
GCCGACAGCCAUAUCACCCUGCAGCCCAAGACUGGUUGCCCACUGAAGCUAAGCAGGGCUGAGCCUGGUCAGUACCUGGAUGGGAGACCUCCUGGGAAAACUAGGUUGCUGCUGGAA